rnacentral:rRNA from 1 species
UACGGAGGGUGCAAGCGUUAAUCGGAAUUACUGGGCGUAAAGCGUGCGCAGGCGGUGAUGUAAGACAGAUGUGAAAUCCCCGGGCUCAACCUGGGAACUGCAUUUGUGACUGCAUCGCUGGAGUGCGGCAGAGGGGGAUGGAAUUCCGCGUGUAGCAGUGAAAUGCGUAGAUAUGCGGAGGAACACCGAUGGCGAAGGCAAUCCCCUGGGCCUGUACUGACGCUCAUGCACGAAAGCGUGGGAGCAACAGG